AAUCUGAGUUUUAAAAUGGUAACCGGAUCUUAUAAAAACUGAUCACCACUGGCAAUAUUAAUGCGAGAUACAAAUAGUGCCGGAAAUUCGCUCUUUAUCUGAUAAGGGACUAAAUAUGAUGUAAGAUUUAGUCAGACUUUAUAAAGUUAUCCAUCCAAGUUAGAAUUGCAUAUUAAAUGAAGAAGAGGAACAUCACCUGACCAGAUUAAGGACGUCGAAAGCAAAGUCGCGGAUGAAUACCAAUUUUUCCAAGACCUCUGUCCCAAAGGCGUUCAAAUUCGGCGGGACAUUUUUUUGAAAUGCGAAGCGAGCUGGAGUCAUAGUAACAAGGUGGUCCAUUAUUUAAAGUUUGGCAAAAACUGUGGAUGAAGUGGAGCUGUCAGUGGCCUGGAUCUGAGACUGCUGGAGGUCUACAAAGCAGCAACCAAAUCUGGAAAGAAGCAGCCACUCAAAGACAUUUUGGACUGCCUUGCAAAAGAUGACACGAAUGAAAGGAGAAGGGUUGCUGCUCUGCUUGGUUUUCCACGCUACAUAUCUGGGGAAGAUCCAUCAACUGUCAUCAGGAUGUGUGAUG